rnacentral:lncRNA from 1 species
CAUGUAUACCAAUUCCGACACAAUUGUAGUCUUUAUCAACAUUGCUGCAAAACAACAAACUUGAUGACUUUUUGAAUGUUAUUCCAAAUUUGAAAGCAAAGACAAUCUUAUACUUUUCAAGGUAUUUUAUGCGUCAACCUACUCCAAAAUUGAGUUUCCAACGGCACAAUUUUAAGGUCAAACGAAUCCUAUAUAAAGAAGGAUACGUCUACAAUUGAAGUAUUUCACUCAGAGAAGAAAACUUGAAUUGAACAAUAACGAUAAGAAUGAAUGACUUAAAAGAGAAAACUCUGGUUAUCAGGAAUGU